GUUGAAACACCGGUCCGCAUAUGAUCACCGAAGUUAAACAACAUCAAGCCUGGCCAGUACCUAGAUGGGUGACCGCUUGGGAAUACCAGGUGCUGUAAG
rnacentral:rRNA from 1 species